rnacentral:tRNA from 3 species
UGCCGGGUCGUCUAAUGGUCGGACAGCGGCCUUUGGAGCCGUCAAUGAAAGUUCGAUUCUUUCCCCGGCAG